UUUACAUUUAUAACCACAAUAUAAAAAUCGUAAAUGUUUUUUUUUCGUUAUCAUGCUUAUAGUAAACACAUUCUAAAAUUUAUAUUAUAGAGUCUUAUCUACACUGCCUUUAUUUUAUUUCCUUUUAUAAUACUAAUUUAAAUACUAUUUCAAAACCAUCUUCCAAUUUCAUUUAGUAAAUUUACUUUGGCAUGAAUACUAAGUUAUUAGCUUUGAUCAAAGUAGCCAGUAACAAAAGCUCCAUCCUAACGGUUAUUCCACUCAAUGUUAAAGCUUAUUGUAAUUUUUGUAUUCCUUUUUAGAAUGCCAUUAUAUUUAAUUAUCUUAAGCUCUCUACAUUUCCAUUUAGUAACGCUACUUUGGCCAAACUACUAGGUUAUUAACUUUGAACCCAAUAGAGGGUAACGAAAGCUUCGUCGUAACGACUAUUGCGUGCGUAGCAGCUAGCUUUUGACCGCCAGCAGAUGUGCUUGCAAUUUGCAACUGUCAAGUCAACCGACACGUUAAGCUGCGCCUAAAAGUUUAAAAUGCAACCGCAACGGAAGAAUAAUGAUGAUGAAUGCUAAAAUGCUAAAGUACGCAAAUAUCUCUCUUCACCCUGAUUUCCCCUUUUCACGCGGCAAAAAACGCACGCAGGCACAUUUCACUGUCAAAAAUGCGGCUAUAAACCAUUUUGGAGCCGCCAGGAGCUGCUGUCGCAAUCAUUUAUUUUUAUUUUCAUUUCGCUUGCCACUUAUGUUGGCCCGCAUUUGGCCAUUUCUCAAGUCUUUCGGCCCGCUCGAGGCCAGACAUUCGAGAUGGCAAGAUGAGUAGACGGCAAGACGGUCCUGACUUUGACGAACAGCAGCACGCAAAAUGCAGCACCAUCGCACCACAUUAUGGCCAUGGUGGUUAGCAUUAAGUUAAAGUUAGGCUUAAUGGCAAGCUGCUCGCAGCACCGAAAAAAAUGGUCAUAAUUUUGGAACUGAUAAAAUCAACAUUAAUAUGUACAUGUGUACAUAUUUAGAUAAUUUUAUAAACUUGUUGCAAGAUCAGUGUUGCACAUAAAAACUAAUUUAAUAAAAAGCAGCGAGUAACGAGUAUAAUAUAAUCAUCAUUAUCUAUAAUUGUAUGUAUUCUUAA